rnacentral:rRNA from 1 species
UACCAGCACCCCGAGUGGUCGGGACGAUUAUUGGGCCUAAAGCAUCCGUAGCCGGUCCUGCAAGUCUUCCGUUAAAUCCAGCUGCUCAACAGAUGGGCUGCGGAGGAUACUACAGGGCUAGGAGGCGGGAGAGGCAAGCGGUACUUUAUGGGUAGGGGUAAAAUCCGUUGAUCCAUAGAAGACCACCAGUGGCGAAGGCGGCUUGCCAGAACGCGCUCGACGGUGGGGGAUGAAAGCUGGGGGAGCAAACCGG